CCCUUAGAUGUUCUGGGCCGCACGCGCGCUACACUGACGAAGUCAGCGAGCAUGUCCUACGCCGACAGGUGCGGGGAAUCUUGUCAAACUUCGUCGUGAUGGGGAUUGAUUAUUGAAAUUCUUGAUCAUCAACGAGGAAUUCCUAGUAAGCGCAAGUCAGCAGCUUGCGUUGAUUACGUCCCUGCCCUUUGUACACACCGCCCGUCGCUACUACCGAUUGAAUGGUUUAGUGAGAUCUCCGGAUUGGCUCUGUAGGUCCCGCAAGGGAUUUAUUAGUAGCCAAGAAGCUGCUCAAACUUGAUCAUUUAGAGGAAGUAAAAGUCGUAACA
rnacentral:rRNA from 1 species